ensembl:snRNA U6 U6 spliceosomal RNA
AUGCUCUCUUUGGCAGCAUGCAUGCUAACACUGGAAUGAUACAAAGAAGAUUAGCGUGGCACCUGUGCAAAGAUGACAUGGAAAUUUGCGAAGCAGUCCAUAUUAAA